AAGAUGGCUCUGGCCCUGUGUGGAGAAUGGGUUGAAGGAACACAGACGCAGCAGCAGAACCGGUCCUCAUCCUUGAACCAGGUGAGAACUUCUAGCUUACUGGGUAAAGUCCAAUUAACGUGGUGCAGAAUUCCAUCCAUGGCAGGGCUCCUGCUGUCUCCAGCCUCAUCUCCAGGCACACCCUGCACCCUUGAGAAGACAAUGCUUCCGUGUCCACCAGUUCAUUCCUUCCAGACACAUCCCAGUGGUGUCUAGCUCAGGUCUCAGCUCCUGGAAAGGGACAAGGACGCCCCAGAGUCUGCUUUUUUGACACUUACCUUCUGGUCCCCCUGAAAAAUCAUGCUGCAUCACGCCUGCACAUUGUCCUUUCUGCGGAAAUGUCCUGUCUCCCCAUCUCUAUCUGCCAAAGACCCACGCAUAAUGCAAACAAUUCAGGUUUCACCCAUUGCCCUUGCUAAGCUAGACCCAGGCAAAAGACAAACCCCAGAGCAACAGUGCGAGGCGGUGCUCCACGCUCCAUCUCAGAGCAGAGCAACCUUAGGACCCCAUUUCAGAAUCCCCUCAAUGAAGUGUAUGGUGGAAGGGCCUGAUUCGUGUCAUGAGAGGUAACAACACCACUACCAACAUCCUGCUUCUCGUCCCCCAGCCCCUGCAAGGGUGCAGUGUGGCUACAGGGGGUGUCUCUGCAGUGAUUCCUCCCUUUACAGGGAAUGAGUCAGGUCCUCUGAAGAAAAGGUGUAAAAAGAAAAAAGAGUGUGUUGUCAAUACUUCAAAGCCUCAGCCAGCAUCAUCUGAUCUAGGAAAGGUGUGAUGGGGUAGGAUAAUCGAUCGCUGCUUAAUUUCCACUGGUUUCUGCAGGGUGCAGACCAGGAAAUUAGACAUUGGGCCUUCCCAGCAGGUCAAGAAACCCAUGUCAGAUACAGCAAAAUCAGCCUCUGUGGCCAGGGGACAGAGGCGUGUGGCGUCUACAAGAAACAAAGAACACAAAGGUUUCCAAGACCAUACUCUGAAAUCUCUGCUCCUUAGAACAGACUCUAAGCUACUACAGAAAAACCACAAGGAAGUUUUCCAUCUGCUUUUUUCCCCUAGUAUCUUCUCCCUAUCUCAAAAACAAAAAAACAAAACAAAACAAAACUUUAAAAAUCCAUGAAGCAUUAGCUAUUUUUAGAAAUUUUAACUUUUCUAUUAUCUAACAAUACAUAUUUCCUGAGCAUUUUAAGUCCAUUUUAAUUUUGUGUACUAUUUAAUGGUAAAUCGUGGUAUAUAUCCUCAACAUAAUACUUCAUAUCCUUGCAGUCCGAUUAUUCAGUCAGCCUUCACUUCUUCAGAUUAAACAAUAUAACUUCAAUUUGCAUAUGUUCUCCAGGUUAUUGCAAAAUAAACCUGUUUCAGUGCAUUUGAAGUAUAGAACAGUGAUCAUUUUAAAUCACACUCAAUUGCCCAGCUUUUCAUUUGAAUAAAAUUCAGGUACCGUUUAGUUCACAAAGAUAAUUUUACUUCAAGAUUUACAGUCGUGCCUCUCAUCUAAAGCAAUCUUCCUCACCCUCUCCCCGGCACUAUUUCUCACCAGCCCUCAAACCCACAAGGCCUCAUUCAAAAAUGAUGAAUCAAGAAGAAAAUAUAAUGUAAAUAGCUGCUGUAUUAGAAAAAUGCACUGGGAAUCUUUGAAAGCCAGGGAGAAUAUAUUAAUAUUCUAUAUUUCUUUUAUCAUACCAAAAAAAAAAAAAAAGGCAGGCUAUGCCUUAGAGCAAGGCUGCAACAGUGUGUCCCAUGUAGGAAAGAUAUUUGCAAGGCCGUCUGGCCUAAAUGCUCACCAUUAACCAAAGCAGGAGCUCUGGGAAGCUCCUGGGAAGUCCAGCCAUGUGGGGCCACCAAAACAUAAUGGAAAAUGCCCACCACACACUACACGCUUCUUCAUUACAUUGGCUCAAUACUGAGAAUGACCGCACAGGACAGCCCUCUUGCAUGACACUAAGGUUUUGUAGGUGAACUGCCACCUGUUAGAUUUCCACUUCCUUUGUUCUCCUACAGUGAGGUCUUUGUCCUGAGUUGAGGGGAGGACAGAUUUUGGUGGGAAGAUGAUCUGAGUUUAAAGGGGCUCUGAGAGAUCCACAUGCAGCUGUCUAGUAGGUUAAUGGGAAUACCCAUCCAACACUCUGGAAAGAGGUCCUUGCUGGAGAUGGAAAUCUAGGGUCCUUCACAUUGGCAUGGUUGUUGGAACCACGGCUGGGUCAGAGUUGUUGAGGAGCACAGACCUCUGAAGGGGGAAGAACAAGGAACCUUGGGAGCACCGAUAAUUGCUGGAUACACGAGCUCUGCGACAGGAAGGCAAGCAUAAGGCUGUCAUGCCAUAAAAACUAAGGCAAGAGAGAGUUUCCAUGCGAGGGAGGGGUCACACGAACUGAAUACAGUCCAAAGGACUGUAGGCAGUGGAUGAUACUAUUUAGGAGGUCUAAAUAUAGCUCUAGUAAUCUCAGCAAGAAUAAGUUACAAUGAAACAAUUACGGGUAAGGGAGAAGCUAGCUAGAUUUCACU
rnacentral:lncRNA from 10 species